rnacentral:rRNA from 1 species
GAUGAACGCUAGCUACAGGCUUAACACAUGCAAGUCGAGGGGCAGCAUGAACAAAGCUUGCUUUGUUCGAUGGCGACCGGCGCACGGGUGAGUAACGCGUAUCCGACCUGCCCAUGACUCGGGCACAGCCGCUCGAAAGAGCGAUUGAUUCCCGAUAUGUCGUUAGAGUAGAUCUAAUGAUGAAAGAUUCAUCGGUCAUGGAUGGGGAUGCGUAGGAUUAGGUAGUAGGCGGGGUAACGGCCCACCUAGCCGACGAUCCUUAGGGGUUCUGAGAGGAAGGUCCCCCACACUGGUACUGAGACACGGACCAGACUCCUACGGGAGGCAGCAGUGAGGAAUAUUGGUCAAUGGGCGGAAGCCUGAGCCAGCCAAGUAGCGUGAAGGAUUACUGCCCUACGGGUUUUAAACUCUUUUAUGCGAGAGUAAUGUGCGCUACGUGUAGCGUAUUGCGAGUAUCGCAUGAAUAAGCAUCGG